CUCCAGCAUUCCCAGUAUUGGAGGCAUUGCCUGCCCAGUGACAACUGUUUAACGGCCGCGGUAUCCUGACCGUGCAAAGGUAGCAUAAUCAUUUGUUCUCUAAAUAAGGACUUGUAUGAAUGGCCGCACGAGGGUUUUACUGUCUCUUACUUCCAAUCAGUGAAAUUGACCUUCCCGUGAAGAGGCGGGAAUGCACAAAUAAGACGAGAAGACCCUAUGGAGCUUUAACUAACCAACCCAAAGAGAAUAAAUUUAACCAUUAAGGAGUAACAACAAUCUCCAUGAGUUGGUAGUUUCGGUUGGGGUGACCUCGGAGAAUAAAAAACCCUCCGAGCGAUUUUAAAGACUAGACCCACAAGUCAAAUCACUCUAUCGCUCAUUGAUCCAAAAACUUGAUCAACGGAACAAGUUACCCUAGGGAUAACAGCGCAAUCCUAUUCAAGAGUCCAUAUCGACAAUAGGGUUUACGACCUCGAUGUUGGAUCAGGACAUCCUGAUGGUGCAACCGCUAUCAAAGGUUCGUUUGUUC
rnacentral:rRNA from 1 species